UACGGGGGGAGCAAGCGUUGUUCGGAUUUACUGGGCGGAAAGGGCGCGUAGGCGGUCAGCACAAGUCAGUUGUGAAAUCUCCGGGCUUAACUCGGAAAGGUCAACUGAUACUGUGCGACUAGAGUGCAGAAGGGGCAACUGGAAUUCUCGGUGUAGCGGUGAAAUGCGUAGAUAUCGAGAGGAACACCUGCGGCGAAGGCGGGUUGCUGGGCUGACACUGACGCUGAUGCGCGAAAGCCAGGGGAGCGAACGGG
rnacentral:rRNA from 1 species